GCGGAUAUGGCGUAGAGGUAACGCGAGACCUUGCCAAGGUUUAGUCGCGGGUUCAAUUCCCGCUAUCCGCU
rnacentral:tRNA from 1 species